rnacentral:lncRNA from 1 species
CUCUGUGCCUGCCUCGAGAGCCUCCUCAGGUGCUCCUGCUCACCCCCACAGCCCUCAGCACAGGAAUGACAGUCACACAAAUGCAGCAGGAGCAAGAGAGACAGGAGAAGGGGCAGGGCAUAGUGGGGUCCACAGGAGAACAAACCCCCUGAGUCACUCCCGUGAGUAGCAGCUCAUGUUCUCCAAAGGACUGAACUCCCACCAGAGCACGGAGAUGCUUUGCCCAGGUUGUUUCUUACAAACAUUACUACAGUCUUGAUGUUUUUGCUGUCCUGUCAUGGCUGCCCAAAGGAUUUAGAGUUCAGGCUGAAGACUUUCAGUAAUUUCUGCCACAGCAGCAUAGCAGGGCUCUGGAGACACUGAUGGUAUUUAUAGCAGCCUGAAAAUUGUACCUCUUUUCACCAGCUGAACCAGUUCCCUGAGCUGACUGCUACAGCUAAUUGAGAGAGGACUGUCAUGUACCAUCAGCUAAAUUUACUGCUCCUCCUCACAAUCAGGUUGUGCUGACCGCAUUGUGACAGCAGUGUCUAAAGGGAGGUCAUCUUCAUUUCUACAUUCUCUCUCUAGGAACAAGAGUUUCUUUUGUAUCUGCACUGCUAGGUUUCUAUUUAUAGGCUUGAACCCUGUGAUGUAAUCUUCCUUUUUGUUUCCAAGGAAACAAUAUUUGAUACAGUAUUCUACUUUCAAGUUUUUCUUCCUUUAGGUUUUUCACCCUCCACCUGCUCUCUUCCUCUCUCUUUAAAGAGACAAGUCAAUAGGGUCUGCAUCUCAGCCCCAAGUCCUCUUUUCCUGCAAAGAUUUUUUAAAAUCAUCUCACUGAACAUCCAGCCAGUUUUCCCACAGUUUUAAUCCUUAAGUAAGUGUUUCUGAUGGCCAGUCCUGUCCCCUGACAUUCCCUUUCUGGCAGCAAAGCAUCUCCUGACACCCCUUUCCAUGCUCUUUUCUGCCACUAGGCUGUGUUCUCAGGUCUGUGGUGGCUUUCACAUUUUCAUUCAUGUGAAAACCCUCUACAUUAACGUUCUUUUAAAAUAAUUGGUUGUCACUUCACUGUCUGUAAGUCAGGAAAAUGCAGAGGACUGAAUCCAUAGUUUACAGUGAAAUCAGCAUUUGUAACAGCUGGAAUAAGGUGUGUUGAAACACAGCUGCACAAAUGCAGGUGCUUUGGUGUCUUACUGGAAAAGCAGUGGGUCAAGCUAAUAGCUUGCCUCAAAAUUUUCAGUGUGUGUUUAUUUCUGUGGCUUGAAAAAUGUGGACAAGAUUGGCUGUUUUAAGAAGUGACUAUUUUAACACUGCAGAAAAAUUAAGAGCAUCAAUGCUCAUAAAUAUAGUUGAUUAAUUCUGACUGGAAAACCUACUGUCAUUUUUAUUACUACUGCCUUGU